AAAAAAUUUGAGAUCCAAAGCAAGGUGAAUUAUACAGAAGACGAACAGGCGUGUGUACCAUAAUUAGUAAGAAGACGAACAGGCGUGUCGGCGUCAUCGUCUUCUCUAGCCGUGGACGCCUCUUUGAAUUCUCCAGUACUAACAGGUUCCUUCUUCUUCUUUUUCUUUUUCCAAACAAAGAAAUUACUCUAUUUUGUGUUGUAUUUAUCUGAAGGAGAUGAUUACCUCCGGUAGAUUGUUAUUAUAAUAUUAUUACUUUGAGCCCUAGAUAUUUUGCAAAAGUGGAUUUCUUUUGUUUAGAAUAUUUAUCGCCUGACUGUAAGCACGACAACUAGCUAUCUAAGCUGACACAGACACGCUUUAAAUUGAUUAUUUUAAGCUUCCUUGAGGAUUUUUUGUUGUUAAUAGAAAAGCUUGUGCGUUGAUGCGACCGAUGCUUAUGUCGUGCAACAGGCUCUAAAAAUUGUAUUUUAAUUGAUGUGUGUGUGUGUGAAAGACUCUUACUUCAUGGCUCAGAAUUCAGGAUCUGAGUCUUCUUCUCUCGUGACUUCUUUGGCUUUUGCAAUUAAAAAUUAACAUAGACAGAGAGUUUUAAGCAUGUGAUAUACAGCUGUCAAUUGCAGUUUCUGCGAGUAACAUAAACUGAAAUCCCAUUAACCACCGGCGAAGUUGAAUUUUUACUAGAAAUUAUGGACAUACAAGUAGGAAACUAGGCAGUUUAAUCUGGUUGUUAAGGUGUUCUAUAGAAAUCAUUAUUUAGCCGAAGGAAUGAUAUAUAGUAGAGAACGUCUAAUGAUAGGAAUUUGACAAAUUAAUGUACUAGGUGUAUGUACAGAGAUUUCUUCAUCCGUGGAAGAUCCAUUAUUUUAUGUAUUGCAAAACCUGGGCACCUUGUUUCAUUAGGGCCUUUCCUAUAAUUGAUCGACAUUAAGGGUGUGUUUGGUAUUAAGGAAAAUAUUUUUCGAAAAAUAUUUUUCAAUUUUUUCAUAUUUGGUUGGCUUAAAUGUUUUGAAAAAUAUUUUACUCCUGAACCCAUUUUCCUCCAAUUGUUUUUCCUAUUAAGAGAAUGAAAAAAUAUUUUCCAAAACUCUUUUUCAAUCUUCCACUCUAUUUCCCAUCCCACCAACCCACCCCACACCCCCACCUAACUCACCACACCCCUACCCCACCCUACCCUACCCCCACCCUCGAUCCCCACCCCCACCCUAAAUAAAAAUGUUAUAAUAGUACUUUCUUUCCAUGUUAUAGAUAGAUUUGUUUUUUCAUUUCAACAAAUGAGUAUUUUCUUUUCAUGAUAUAAAAAAGUAUUUUUUUUCAUUUUAACAAAAAAAAGUACUCACUUUUCAUGAUAUAGAAAAAAUAUUUUUUUUCAUUUCAAUAAAAAAAGUAUUUUCUUUUCAUGAUAUAGAAAAAAUAUUUUUUUUCAUNNNNNNNNNNNNNNNNNNNNNGAAUACUUUCUUUUUCAACAAAAAAGAGUAUUUUCUUUAUAGUUAUAGAGUAUUUGUGUAAAUUUUUAGAAGAAUAAUUAAAUUGUUAAAGAAAAUAGAUUCUUGAAAACGUUGGGUAUCUGGAGAGGGGUGGGGGAGGGGGCAAGUAAACACGGGGACUUGGGGAAAAAGGGUGAGGAGAGUAGCAUAAAAAAAUAUUUUCCUAAAAAAAUAUUUUCUACUCUCUAACCAAACACUAGAAAAUAUUUUCAGAAAUUGUUUUUCACUCACCAACCAAACAAGGGAAAAUAAGUGAUAAAACCACUCAUUUUUCAUGAAAACAUUUUAUAGGAAAACAUUUUCUUUCGUACCAAACACACCCUAAGUAGGAAUGUCAGUCUGCUAUGUUAUUAAAGCAAGAAAAUAAGGGAUGAUGUAUUUUUAUUCAUUGAGUUAAAAUAUAGUUAUUUGAGGACAAUUUUUUGGAAGAGUGCUAUGGUUAGAAAAUUGGGACAUCGUGUAUGGGACAGUAGCGUACGAGGACUAGAGAAAAUCUCCGCUCCUUUUCUUUCCAUUAUCCCCAAACUAAGAAAGCCUAAUCUUUGAUAACUCUUUCUAAUAUUAACUAGAUAGCUACUUCUCAUUAUAUGUAUAAUAUAUAUCGAGAGUUGAUGAUACCCCCCUCCCCCCUCCUCCCCCCAAAAAAAAAAAAAGAAAUCAGCUGAUCAUUCUUAUAAUAUUUGUUUAAUAAGUAGAACAGGUGGAAUUAUAUGCUUGAAAGAUGGUUGGUCAUACAUUAAUAAAAUCUUGAAAGUGUGAUCGUUAAUUGAGAAGAAAUUUAAGUGGUACUUUCCAUAUUGCCUGGACAUCAAGGAGAGAAUCGGAAGGUGGGUCUAUAUUGAAUUUCUAUUUGAUUAACUUAUACAUCUUCCUUAGGAAGGUUGUUCUUAGCCCUAGCUUGAUCAAGAGAGACGUAAGCUUGGUACUAUGCCUUGGAUUGUACACUUUGGGUAUCGGGCAAAUGAAUGAAUAAUUAUUGAUGUACGUAAAAUAUAAAUUAUGAAUCAUUUUUAUGGUUCCACAUGAGAAACCUGUAAGAGCGCAACUUAGAUUUUAUUUAGUUAGUUUUUUGUUCAGAAUAUAAAAAAAAAGUAUCAAAUAAAAUGGAUCUCUUAGUUAAUUUUAUCAUAAUGUACUUCAUACAUCCAACACUUAUACUCUAGAGUUCUAAUUGUUCUUUUUUUAACACUUUACAUAGCUUUUCAUCCACUUUUCAUCCACUUGACAACUAGAAGUUCUCCAAAAGUAGAAAAUAUAUAGUUUAAAAUUAGUUAGCACUUGCCAUAUGAUUUGGCCCAUCUUAUUUCUAUCUUGCAUGUGAAAAUAUUAUUUUGCGAGACAAUGUGUUCAUGUCAAUAGUAUGCAUAACAAAAGAUUGAUAGAUAAUAAGUAUCUACCUUUUUUUGCGGAACCUUCGUUCCACAUUGAAAUUUUAGAAGAAAAGGUGGAUUUAGACAUAAGCUUGAUUUUCCAUUUUGGUCGUCUUUGCGACCGAAAGACUAAUAAUAUAUGGCAAGCCAGAAACAUGAAAUUGAUCAGUUAGACCUUUAAGAUGCUCCUAGUAUAAGAGCAUAUGAUUCCAUUUCUAAUAUUGCAACUUUCAUUGGGUUAUGGUGAUAGUUACAUUUUUAACAGUUGUAAUUGUGAAAGCCAAAACAUUAGUGAAAACAUUUUAUAGUAAUUCAAUGUUACUACAUGAUUUCUUAAAGGGAACCACGCUAUGGUGGUUGCAUAACCUUUCAAGUAAAUGCAAUACGAUUAAACCUCUUUCAAAUAUAUUUAGUCAAACCUUGCUAGUAUUUUAGUCGAACAAUUUGCUCAAACGGUGUCAGCGGUGUCAACUUUCUUUCAAAUGUAAUUUAGUUAAAUUCUAUUAGUAUCUUUUUCAAGUGCACCUAUUUUUAUGGAACUUUGCUAAUCGGGUGUAUUGAAAAAUGCCCCUUGAAGUUUUUGGUACAUCAUACUCAACAAUAAAAAGUUUGAUUGAAGCAAGGAUUAUGAUAAAAUGAUCUUGUAUCCGCUCUCCUUCAACUUUGUUUUUUCAUUUUGCUAAGUAGUCUUGCUAUCUUAUAUUUGGUGUCCUUUUGAAGGAUUAGAGCAUCAUUAAUUGUUAAUUGACUUUUUAGAUUUUAUUGUGAAGGUACAAUUAUGAGCAAAUAUUAGGAUAUAAUUAGUGACCUCAAUUAAGGUAAAGGAUUUUUUAGUUAUAUCCAAUUGAAAUAAGGACUUCAAAAUGUAUCAUAACCUAAAAUUAUGGAAUAUUGCCAAGAGGCCACGAGUGUUACAUUAAUAAAAUCUUAUAGCAUCUAUUAAUUAUAAAGUUGUUUUAGCUAUUACAUGUGUGAGAUAUACAUAUUGACAACUCAAUAUGUGGAUCACAAACUUAAUCAUGUAACAGGAUUCUCUUCUUCGGACGUUAUGCAAACCAUACAUCUCCAAAAUACAUAUAAUCAUAUUCAUAGAGCUGAUUAAGAAAUUAAAGUAGAUUAAUGUGGGCACAAGCUUACACAAACAGGAACGAUAAUGCAUUUUGGCCAACCAUCAAUGAAAUGUGCUAGUGAAGAUCAACAAGGAAGCUCGUUAGUGUCAACUAUUGAACUUGUAAGUCGAAGAUAAUGGUGUAAUUGUACUAAACCGCUUCUUAAAAGGACAAUUGAAAAGAACAUAGUGAAUACAUAAUCCUUAUAGCAUGUGAUAUAAUGUGUCAUAGUAAUAAUUCCUCAUACGUACAGAGACGUGUGUGCUAUCUAUGCAUUGAUAUUCGGCCAUUUAAUGUGUCAAUCAUCCAUUUGAAGUCAAAAUGUCAUCAUAUGUACAAUAUGAGGGAAUGUACCACAAGUAAGCACAGACAAUGGCCGUAUGUGACGUGCCACUGAAAAUAUUUAUGAGAGUCGAGGAUAAUGCCUUCUCAGCGUCUGUUGUCAUAAGUUUUCCCUUAGUGUAUUGUUACUUAUGGGUAUUAUUAUGUAGGUAAUGUGUUUCAUUCCAUAUCAAUAUUUUACACUUCACUUUCACAUUCUUAAUCAUAUUUGCACGACCCAAAACGUGGCUGGAGGGGACACCAAGUGACUCUGUCCUCUCAUCCCUUCGAUGAAGCAUGGUUUUUGCUUUUUGAGCUUUUUUUAGUGCAAGCAUCUUCAAGGUAGAAUGUGUAUUGUUGUGGUUUGUAGUGGCAUCUAGGUAUGUAAUGGCUGAAACGAUAUAUAAAAAAAUGAGAUAAAGGGGCAAACGUUUGACAACAUUGUUAUUUGAGUGAAGUUGCCAUAGGAGUUGAAUCUUAAAGCAAGCAAGGCUUCAAGAAUGAUGGUCUUCGACACGCGCUUUAGACGUGCUUCGCACAAAGAUGAUCUUCGAAGGUAUGAAGAAUUAGGAUCAGAAUAUUUAAUAGGCCAAGUGUUGUACAUCCGAGUGACUGUCUAUGUAGAGCGCAUGUUGGCAAUGACAACACUUCGCCUGUGUUAUUCACUCAAUCAUGUAAACAAUUAAUAUUUUUUGUAUCUUCAAUUAAGUGUAACAUUCUGACAUCAUAAUUUUGUGGAUUCCACGAAGGUCGUAAGAUAACCAAAGUUUAGGCGUGUGAAAGGAGAGGAGCGAAGGAUGCCUUGGCACAAGGCAUGUCAAGGCAUGGGCACGGGCACACACGAGGUCAUAUGCAGGAAGCAAGACGCCAUGAAAAGGGUUGGGGGCUUACCUUGUUCCUAACUCGUAAGGAUGGCAUAACGCAAGUGAAUGGUAGACGAGCAUCUGAGCUUUGCGGGGCAUGGAAGAACAUUGUAGCCUAUGAGUACUAGAGUCUUGGUGAUUUAUAAGAGUUGUGGGAGCAUAAUGAGCAUGUGAAUAAUGCCAAAUAUAAUAAAUAUAAUAUAUUUUACUACGGAAUGUUGUAGAGCGUUUUAGAAGGAUCUAGAGGUUGAUGGAGCAUAAUGUGUCUAAAUGACUUUAGGUUAUGUUGGCCAAAGGUCUACUAACAAAGUUGAACAAGCCAGCAAGUUGCAGAAAAUUUUAGAAAAGCCUAGGAGGAGUAUAAAGUAGGGUUUUGAGUUCGGUGAUGAUAGACUUUAAGUAGUUUCUUUCUGCAACUUUUAAGUGCUCUUAAACUCUUCGAGUGAGCCUAUAAACGGCAAGUCACUUUAACAACCUUGUGAGUGCUUAUAGCUUUGUGUGAUUGUUGGCCCAAGUGAAGUUUUGUUUUGAAGAUUGACAAAGGAAGCUCAGGCAUGAACCAGGUCCAUCCUCUGUGUACACAGACACGGGCAUAUUGGAUCAUGAGAAAUGCACAUGAAGGAGAUAAGCUUAACUUGUUAUAUUUGAUAUCUCCUGAUCAAAAAGGUUACAUAAUUGAUAAGGAGAAGGACUCCUUACUCAAAGAGAACACUAUCCAAGAUAAGGGAGGAGUUAGAAGUUGAGGAUAACUAGAAUUCUUCCACCAAGGAAGAGUAGCAUUAGAACUCUAGUUAUUUCCCAUUCUACUAACUCUAUAUAUUGUAGGAUGUUCUCAUUCUACGAUCACGCAUAAAAGCAGAAGUUAAACGUGAGUUGAGAGCAAAAUAGCAAGGCAUUUUGCAAACAAUUAUUGUGUGAUUCAAGUGUACGAACCUAAAGCUACAUGAACCAGAUAGAAGAACCAGUUCAAAAUGUUUAUCUUUUAUUCUAGUUCAAUUGUAGUAGGUGGUUUUCAAAUUGUACCUUUCAGCUUUAUCUAGAGGCAAUUGUAAUAUGUACUCUGAGUAUUCAAGUUAGAGUUAACUUGAAGUUGUCGCAACAGUUAGAGGCUGGUUGCCACAAGGGGAUUAGAGUUAAUCCUUAGGUUUACAAAAAGUUUUGUAAAUGCUGUUUUAGCUCAUUGAUUUAGUGAAGUGUUGGGAAAAAUUCCUACUGAGUAGUAGGUCGUAUUUUUUUCACCUUUUGAGCAAGGUAUUUUUCAUGUAAAAAUACUUAUAUUCUUUACUUUCCGCAUUUACUAUUUCAGCAACAGUAGGUUAAUGAUGUAAUGAUCCGACCGGUCGUUUUGAGUGUAUUAGCCCUGAUCUCCUAUUUACUGUUUCCUCCGUACCUUUUUGGGAUACUUAGUCCCUAAAACGGGAGCUUAAGUCUUAGGAUUUUGACAGUAGUCGAAACUAUGUGAAGAUGACUCUGGAAUGGUGUUUCGUCGGUUCCGUUAGCUCCGUUGGGUGAUUUUGGACUUAGGGGCAUGUCUGGAUUGUGUUUUGGAGGUCUGUAGCUCAUUUAGGCUUGAAAUGACGAAAGUCGAAUUUUUGGAGAUUUUGACAUGUAGUGGACUUUUUGAUAUCGGGGUCGAAUUCCGAUUCCGGAAGUUUGAGUAGGUCCAUAAUGUUCAAUAUGACUUGUGUGCAAAAUUUAGGGUCAAUCGGAUGUGGUUUGGUUGGUUUCGGCAUCGGUUGUCGAAUUUGGAAGUUUCAAGUUCUUUAAGUUUGAAUCAGAGGAUGAUUUGUGAUUUUAGCGUUGUUUGAUAUGGUUUGAGGGCUCGACUAAUUUUGUAUGGUGUUUUAGGAUUAGUUGGUAUGUUUGGUCGAGGUCCCGGGGGCCUUGGGUGAGUUUCGGGUACUUAACGGAUUGAGUUUGGGACUUAUGGAAUUGCUAGAGCUGCUGCACCUGGUGUAAUCGCACCUGCGUACUUUCGGCCGCAGGUGCUGCAUCGCAAAAGCGGCCAUGGAGCCGCAAAAGCAGUUUUGACACUGUCUAGCUGGGACCGCAGGUGCGACCAUAGAUCCGCAGAAGCGGACGUGCAGAAGCGGAAGUGGAGCGCAGAUGCGGGCUCGCAGAAGCGGCCCUUGUUCGCAAAUGCGGACUCAGUCCCCCUUAUGUGAUUUCACAUUUGCGAUGGAAUUUUCGUAGGUGAUGUACUGCAUGUGCGGUUGAAGGAUCGCAAAAGCGAGAUUUCUGUGCAGAAAAGAGGAAAAAUCGAGGGUUUGAUUCAUUUCUUCAUUUUUGGACUUUGGAGCUCGGGAAUUGGCGAUUUUUCGAGGGAUUUUCAAAGAGAGCUCUAGGGUAACGAUUCCUAACUCGUUUUUAGUUGUAUUUCAUUAAUCUAUAGUUAUUUUCUCUAUUUAAUUUCGGAUUUGGAUUGAAAAGUUGGGAAAAUGGGGGAAAAGUUCCCUAACCGAAUUUCUAAGUUUUGAUUGGGAUUUAGAAAUCGGAUUUGGAUAAUUUUGGUACGAGUGAACUCGUGAGUGAAUGGGUGUUCGUAUUUUGUGACUUUUACCCGAUUCUGAGACGUGGGCCCGGGUCGACCUUUUAGGACGGAUUUUGGCAUUUUUAUUAAAAUCUUGAUUUCAUUAAUUAGAUUAGUCUAUUAUAGUUGUAUUUAUGAUAUGUAAUAGUUUUUGGCUAGAUUUGGGCCAUUUAGAGUCAAAUAUUUGUGGAAAAGGCAUUGUUAUCGAUUGAUUGAGUUUGGUUCGAGGUAAGUAGCUUGCCUAACCUUGUGUGGGGGAAAUCCCCUUAGGAUUUAUACUGUUUUUGAUAUAUGAGCGCCGUGUACGUGAGGUGACGCAUAAGUACACGGGCUAAUUGUGUAAAAACCUGAUUUUUCUAAUAAGAAUUUCAUCAGCAUGUGUAGUAUCCUUCUAGAUUAGAAUAACAUGUCUACUUGCCCUAACUAUUUACUUGAACUACGUGCAAUAUGUUUAGUGAAUUUACGUGUCUUUCCUUAACUGGUACUUAGGUUGAACUGUAGAACUUCGUGUCGUAACUAUUGAAUUCUAUUGUUUAGCUGCAUAUUUACUUUGGGACUACGGAACGGUAUUCCGGGAGAUCCCCCUGUACUGCAUAUUUACUUUAGGACUACGGAACGGUAUUUCGGGAGAUCCCCCUGUCUUGCAUAUUUACUUUGGGAAUACGGAACGGUAUUCCAUGAGAUCCUCCUCCACAUUUACGUUUGGUACUACGAGACGGUAUCUCGGGAGAUCCCCUGCUGUAUUUCUGUGUGUUGAGCUCUUACCUUUGAUGAAUUCUUUCUUGUUAAAUUUGAGUCUUUAUUUUACUGCGAUAAUUCAUUCCUGCCUUGCCUUAUUAUUAUUUAUACCAGUAGGGUCUUGACCUGACCUCGUCACUACUCGACCGAGGUUAGGCUUGACAUUUACUGUGUACCGAUUGUGAUAUACUCAUGCUAUACUUCUGCACAUGUUUUUCGUGUAUAGAUCUAGGUGCUCCUUAUCAGCUGCACUAUCAAUGAGUUGGGACAACUUUGGAGACUUCAAUGUAUAUCUUCCACGUAUGCAGACUUCGUAGUCCACUUCUACUCUUUCUCAUGUCCAUUAUCUUUUGUAUUUUUCCUUUGUUAGACUCUAAUGUAUAGAGACACUAGAUUUUCCUUCUAUAGUUUGUGAUUCAUGAUGUUCCGGGUUUUGGGAUUGUUGUGUAUUUUUGAAUAACUAGUUGUUAAAUUUAUGUUUUUAUUUCAUUAUUCCGCAAUGUUAGGCUUAUCUAGUCGUAGAGACUAGGUGUCGUCACGACGUCAUACGAAGGAGAAAUUUGGGUCGUGAUAAGUUGGUAUCAGAGCUCUAGGUUCGUAGGUGUCGUGAGUCACAAGCUGAUUUGUUAGAGUCUCGCGGCCGAGGUAGAGGCCGAGGACAUCCACGUAGUGCAGCCAAAGAACCCGCACAACAUGCUAUAGAGGAGCCCCAGUAGCUCCAACUAGAGGGCAGACACCUGAGGCACCUGUUAUUGCACCAGCCCUCCAGGAGACUCUAGCUCAAUUUUUGAGCAUGUUUAGCAGCUUAGCUCAGGCUGGAUUGAUUCCACUUGCUCUUUCCGCAUCUUAGGCCAGGGUAGGAGCAAAGACUCUCAUCGCCGGUACUCUAGAGCAGCGGGUUCAGGUCGACCAGGUUCCAGAGAUUGUACCAAUGCAGUCGGUAGCUCCAGCUCAGCCCGAAGUUAGGGCAGUAGCUUUUGAGUUGGAGCAGCUCAGACUUGAGAGGUACAAGAAGUACCACCCACCUACCUUCAGCAGAUUGGCUACAGAUGAUGCUUAGGGUUUUUUGGAGGAGUGUCAUCGUAUUCUCUGCAUUAUGGGUAUAGCGGAGAUGAGCGGGGUGUCUUUUACUAUAUUCCAUCUUAGAGGAGUAGCCUAUCAGUGGUGGCGUGCUUAUGAGCUGAGUAGUUCGGAUAAAGAAGCUUCACUUACAUGGACUCAGUUCUCGGACAUGGUUUUGAGAGAGUAUGUCCCUCAGAGCCUCAGGGACUCAUGGAGAGCGAAGUUUGAGCAGCUGCGCCAGGGAUGUAUGACUGUGUCAGAGUAUGCAGCACGUUUCAGUAAUUUAGCCCGACAUGCACCGGCCUUGGUUGGCACAGUUCGAGAGAGGGUUCAACGAUUUAUUGAGGGACUCCACCCCAGCAUCCGGAUUAGUAUGGCCAGGGAGUUGGAGAUGGAUAUUUCUUAUCAGCAGGUUGUGAGUAUUGCCAGGAGAUUGGAGGGAAUGCUUGCCCGGGACAGAGAGGAGAGAGUGGCCAAGAGGUCUCGAGAGACUAGUUAUUAUUCUGGUGCUCGUGCCCCAACAGCUCAUCAUGGUAGGGGUUAUGUGACUUGCACCGUUCAUUCAGCUCUUCCAGCCGCCAGUGGUGUUCCAGCCCCUUCUAGGCCCCAUGAGCCUUAUUAUGCGCUGCCAGUAUCUAGUGUGCCUCCUGCACAGGGUGUUCUUAGCGGCCAGUCUAGCAGAUCUGGCCCGAGCCAGCCACAGCAGCCACGCCCUCCCAGAGCUUGUUUUGAGUGUGGCGAGACUCGCCAUAUGGUGAGGGAUUGCCUAAGAUUUAGGAGGGGUGUACCUCCACAGACUUCUCAGCCACAGCGUGCUCCACCGGGUCCUCGGGCUAUGAUUCCAGCACCAGUUGCCACCCCACAUGCUCAGCUAGCCCAAAGUGGAGGUCGGGGAGGUAGAGGUCGCCCUAGAGGGGGAGGCCAUGCUAGAUAUUAUGCCUUUCCUGCUCGUACAGAGGCAGUCUCUUCUGAUUCUGUCAUUACAGGUAUUUUCCCGGUCUGUCAUAGAGAUGCGUUGGUAUUAUUUGACCCAGGCUCUACAUAUUCUUAUAUGUCCUCUUAUUUUGCCCCGUAUUUGGGCGAAUCUCAAGAUUCUUUGAGUUUCCCUGUUUAUGUGUCUAAUCCCGUGGGAGAUUCUCUUGUUUUGAGAUCAUAGCCGAUUUACUAUUGCUCAGCAUAGUGGACUUUGAUAUUAUUUUGGGCAUGGACUGGUUGUCGCCCCAUUAUGUUCUUGAUUGUCACGCUAAAACCGUGACACUGGCUAUGCCAGGUUUACCUCGAUUAGAGUGGAGAGGUACCUUAGAGUAUACUCCCAACAUAGUUAUUUCAUUUCUUAAAGCUUAAUGAAUGGUUGAGAAGGGGUGUGACGUGUAUCUAGCUUAUGUGAGAGAUGUCAGUAUUGAUACCCCUACGGUUGAGUCAGUUCCAGUAGUGAGGGACUUUCCAGAUGUGUUCCCAGCUGAUUUUCCAGGCAUGCCGCCUGACAGAGAUAUUGAUUUUGGUAUUGAUUUGUUGCCGAUCACUCAGCCCAUCUCUAUUCUUCUAUAAUGUAUGGCUCCUCCUAAUUUGAAGGAGUUGAAGGAGCAAUUACAGGAAUUGCUUGAUAAGGGCUUCAUUCGGCCCAGUGUGACACCUUGGGGUGCUCAUGUCUUAUUUGUGAAGAAGAAGGAUGGUUCUAUGCGGAUGUGUAUUGAUUACCGCCAGUCCAACAAAGUCACAGUGAAGAACAUGUAUCCAUUGCCUCGUAUUGAUGACUUAUUUGAUCAAUUAUAGUGUGCCAGAGUAUUUUUCAAGAUUGAAUUACGUUCAGGAUAUCAUCAGUUGAAGAUUCGGGAGCCAGAUAUCUCAAAGACUGGUUUCAGGACCAGAUAUGGUCACUAUGAGUUUCUUGUUAUGUUUUUUGGGCUGACCAAUGCCCCAGCAGCUUUUAUGCACAUGAUGCAUAGCGUAUUCUUGCCUUAUCUUGACUCAUUCUUCAUUGUGUUUAUUGAAGACAUUCUGGUGUACUCCCGGACUCGGGAAGAUCAUGAGCAGCACCUGAGGACUGCUCUUCAGACCUUGAGAGAAAAGAAGUUAUAUGAAAAAUUUUCAAAGUGUGAGUUUUGGCUAGACUCAGUGGCAUUCUUGGGUCAUAUAAUAUCGAGUGAUAGGAUCCAGGUUGAUUCGAAGAAAAUUGAAGCAGUGCAGAGUUGGCCAAGACCAUCCUCAGCUACAGAGAUUCGGAGUUUUCUUGGUUUGGCGGGGUAUUACCAUCGGUUCAUUAAGGGGUUCUCAUCUAUUGCAGCACCUAUGACCAGGCUGACCCAGAAGGGUUCUUUGUUCAGGUGGACAGAGGAAUGUGAGGAGACUUUCAGAAGCUCAAGACUUCUUUGACUACAACCCCAGUAUUGCUAUUGCCUACAGGUUCGAGGUCUUAUACUGUAUAUUGUGAUGCAUCGCAGAUUGGUCUCGGCAUAGUGUUGAUGUAGGACGGUAGGUUGAUUGCCUACACAUCCAGAUAACUGAAGGUGCAUGAAAAGAACUAUCAUGUCCACGACCUUGAGUUAGCAGCUAUUGUUCAUGCCUUGAAGAUUUGGCGGCAUUAUUUGUACGGUAUUCCUUAUGAGAUUUACACCGAUCAUCGGAGUUUGCAGCAUCUGUUUAAGAAAAAAAGAUCUUAACUUGGGUCAACGGAGGUGGUUGAAGAUACUUAAGGAUUAUGAUAUCACCAUUUUGUACCACCCUGGGAAGGCCAUUGUGGUGGCCGAUGCCAGGCAGAGAGUUUGGGGAGCUUAGCAUAUCUAUUAGUAGCAGAGAGGCCCAUGAUAUUGGAUGUUCAGGCCUUAGCCAGCCUGUUUAUGAGAUUGGAUAUUUUUGAGUCGAGUCAAGUAUUGGCUUGUGUGGUCUCUCGGUCUUCUCUUUCUGAUUGUAUCAGGGAACGUCAGUAUGAUGACCCUCAUCUGCUUGUCCUUAAGGACACGGUCCAGCACGGUGAUGCUAAGGAGGUCACUAUUGGAGAUGAUGGUGCAUUGAGGAUGCAUGGCAGGCGGUGUGUGCCCAAUAUAGAUGGUUUACGUGAGUUGAUUCUCCAGGAGGCUCAUAGUUCGCGGUACUCUAUUCAUCCGGGUGCCGCAAAGAUGCAUUAGGACUUGAGACAGCAUUACCGGUGGAGGAGAAUGAAGGACAAAAUAGAGUAUGUGGCCCGAUGUCUAAAUUGCUAGCAGGUGAAGUAUGAGCAUCAACGACCAGGUGGGUUGCUUUAGAAGUUGGAGAUUCCGAAGUGAAAAUGGGAACGGAUCACUAUGGAUUUCGUUGUUGGGCUCCCACGGACUCAGUGGAGGUUUGAUCCAGUUUGGGUGAUUGUGGAUAGGCUGAACAAAUCGGCUCAUUUCAUUCCUGUGAUGACUACCUAUUCCUCCUAGCACCUAGCUCGAAUCUACAUCCGCGAGAUCGUCAGGCUUCAUGGCGUACUGCUAUCUAUUAUCUCUGACCGGGGUACGCAGUUUACAUCACGGUUCUUGAGAGCUGUACAACAUGAGUUGUGUACUCUGGUUGAGUUGAGCACAACAUUUCACCCUCAGACGGAUGGACAGUCCGAGCGCACUAUUUAGAUACCGGAGAAUAUGCUCCGCGCUUGUGUGAUAGAUUUUGGGGGUGCUUGGGACCAGGUUUUAUCACUUGCGGAGUUUGCCUACAACAACAGUUAUCAGUCCAGCAUUCAGAUGGCACCGUAAGAGGCUCUAUAUAGUAGGCGGUGUCGGUCUGCAGUGGGAUAAUUUGAGCCGGGCGAGGCUAGAUUAUUGGAUACGGUGAUUCAGGAUAGACUUCGCAUAGCCCAGUCAAGACAAAAGAGUUAUGCAGAUCGAAAGGUUUGCGAUGUUGCAUUCAUGGUGGGGAGUGAGUCUUGCUCCGGGUUUCGCCUAUGAAGGGCAUUAUGAGGUUCGGAAAGAGGGGCAAGCUGAGCCCAAGGUUUAUUGGUCCCUUUGAGGCAUUGCGGCGAGUUGGGGAAGUUGCUUACAAGAUUGCCUUACCUCCCAACCUAGUAGGAGUUCAUCCGGUAUUCCAUGUUUCUAUGCUCUGGAAGUAUCACGGUGAUCCGGCUCAUGUAUUGGAUUUCUGCUUAGUCCAGUUGGACAAAGAUCUAUCUUAUGUUAAGGAGCCAGUGGCUAUUUUAGACAGGCAGGUCAGAAAGCUAAGCUCAAAGAACAUUACUUCUGUGAAGGUUCAAUGGAGGGGAGAGCCGGUUGAGAAGGCGACUUGGGAGACCGAGCAGGAUAUGCGCAGCCGUUAUCCUCAUCUUUUCACCACUUCAGGUAUGUCUUUAUGCUCGUUCGAGGACGAACGAUUGUUUUAAGAGGGAGAGGAUGUAACGACGCGGCCGGUCGUUUUGAGUGUAUUAGCCCCGAUUCCCUAUUUACUGUUUACCCGUACCUUUUUCUGCUUAUGUGACUUGCUAGGAGGUUUUGUUUUUGGGUUUCGGAGUGUUUCGGGACACUUAGUCCCUAAAACGGGAGCUUAAGUCUUAGGAUUUUAACCGUAGUCGGAACUGUGUGAAGACGACUCCAGAAUGGAGUUUUGUCGGUUCUGUUAGUUCUGUUGGGUGCUUUUGAACUUAGGGGCGUGUCCGGAUUGUGUUUUGGAGGUGUGUAGCUCAUUUAGGCUUGAAAUGGCGAAAGUCAAAUUUUUGGAGAUUUUGACCGGUAGUGGACUUUUUGAUAUCAGGAUCGAAUUCCGAUUUCAGAAGUUGGAGUAGGUCCGUAAUAUUGAAUAUGACUUGCAAAAUUUGGGGUCAAUCGGACGUGGUUUGGUUGGUUUCGGCAUCGGUUGUUGAAUUUAAAAGUUUUAAGUCCUUUAAGUUUGAAUCGGAGGAUGAUUUGUGAUUUUAGCGUUGUUUGAUAUGGUUUGAGGGCUCGACUAAGAUCGUAUGGUGUUUUAGGAUUGGUUGGUGUGUUUGGUCGAGGUCCCGGGGUCCUCGGGUGAGUUUUGGGUGCUUGAUGGAUUGAGUUUGGUACUUAUGCAAUUGCUGGAGCUGCUGCACCUGGUGUAAUCGAACCUGCGCACUUUAGGCUGCAGGUGCGGCACCACAGAAGCGGUUUUGAUCCUGUCCAACUGGGACCGCAGGUGCGGCUAUAGAUCCGCAGAAGCGAAAGUGGAGCGCAGAUGCGGACUCAAUCCCCAUUAAGUGAUUGCACACCUGUGAUGGAAUUUCAGCAGGUGCGGUUGAAGGCUCGCAGAAGCGAGAUUUCUGGGCAGAAAAGAGGAAAAAUAGAGGGUUUGAUUCAUUUCUUCAUUUUUGGACUUUGGAGCUCGGGAAUUGGCGAUUAUUCGAGGGAUUUUCAAAGAGAGCUUUGGGGUAACGAUUCCGAACUCAUUUUUGGUUGUAUUUCAUUAAUCUAUAGUUGUUUUCUCCAUUUAAUUUCGGAUUUGGAUUGAAAAGUUGGGAAAAUGGGGGAAAGGUUCCCUAACCGAAUUUUUGAGUUUUGAUUGGGAUUUAGACAUCAGAUUUGGAUAAUUUUGGUACAAGUGAACUCGUGAGUGAAUGAGUGUUCGUAUUUUGUGACUUUUACCCGAUUCCGAGACGUGGGCCCGGGUCGACUUUUUAGGACGGAUAUCAGAAUUUUUAUUAAAAUCUUGAUUUCAUUAAUUAGAUUAGUCUAUUAUAGUUGUAUUUAUGAUAUGUAAUUAUUUUUGGCUAUAUUUGGGCUAUUCGGAGUCAGAUAUUCGUGGAAAAGGCAUUGUUAAUGAUUCAUUGAGCUUGAUUCGAGGUAAGUGGCUUGACUAACCUUGUAUGGGGGAAAUCCCCUUAGGAUUUAUACUGUUUUUGAUAUAUGAGUGCCGUGUACGUGAGGUGACGAGUACGUACACGGGCUAAUUGUGUAAAAACCCAAUUUUUCUACUAAGUAGUAACCUGAUUUCUUUCUUAUUUGAGUGUCAUCAGGAUGUGUAGUAUCCUACUAGAUUAGAAUAGCAUGCCAUUUUGCCCUAACUGUUUACUUGAAUUACAUGCAGCAUGUUUAGUGAAUUUACCUGUCUUUCCUUAACUGGUACUUAGGUUGAAAUGUAGAAUUUCGUUCCUAACUAUUGAAUUCUAUUGUUUAGCUGUAUAUUUACUUUGGGACUACGGAAAGGUAUUCCGGGAGAUCCCCCUGUACUCCAUAUUUACUUUGGGACUACGGAAUAGUAUUCCGGGAGAUCACCCUGUACUGUGUAUUUACUUUGGGACAACUGAAUAGUAUUCCGGGAGAUUCCCAUGUCUUGCUUAUUUACUUUGGGACUACGGAAUGGUAUUCUCGGAGACCCCCUGCACAUUUAUGUUUGGGACUAUGAAACGGUAUCUCGGGAGAUCCCCUGUUGUAUUUCUGUGUACUGAGCUGUUACCUUCUAUGAGUUCUUUCUUGUUAAAAUUCAGUUUUUAUUUUACUACGAUAUUUCAUUCUUGUCUUGCCUUAUUAUUAUUUAUACCAAUAGGGUCCUGACCUGACCUCGUCACUACUCAAUCGAGGUUAGGCUUGGCACUUACUGGUGCCGAUUGUGGUGUACUUAUGCUACUCUUCUGCACAUAUUUUUCGUGUGCAGAUCCAGGUGCUCCUUAUCAGCUGCACUAUUAGUGAGCCAGGACAACUUUGGAGACUUCAAGAUAUAUCUGCUACGUUCGUAGACCUCAGAGUCCCUUUCUACUUUUUUCUCAUGUCUAUUAUCUUCUGUAUUUUUCCUUUGUUAGACUCUCAUGCAUAGAGACACUAGAUUUUCUUUAUGUAGUUUGUGAUUCACGAUGUUCCGGGUUUUGGUAUUGCUGUG
rnacentral:lncRNA from 1 species